CGUUUGCAAAUAACAUGGCGUGGUGGCGGUUACACUAACAUCAAAGGCACCACCGACACGAAGUCGGACUUCUGUAAAUGUUUAUUCUGUGGUAUUGAAGUGUUUUCUUGAAACGUUGGAUAGGAUAAACUUGCGGUUCACCGGUUGCGAUAAUGUACUAUAUUAAAAUAUUAUCAUUACCAAAUGUUGUCAUUAGUAAUUUAUAAUUCUGCGUCAAUAUUUAUUUUCAUACAUGCAAUUCCCUUUAACUUUUAAACAAAUUGUUACCUUCCCAGUUAAGUGAUAUUGGUGUUCAGAAGGAUGAGGUAACUUUACGAUAUACCGCAUUUCAACACCGUCACUUGCAAUAGUGUUUUCCUUCAAUUUUUCGUGCAAUUGUUUUGCAAUUCUUCUUCUGAAGAAUAUACUGUCUUUUUCAAUCUAAAGAAUAGUGUAUACGUCAUGUUUGCGGGUUUUUAUGUAUGUUAGAAAAAGACUUAUUUUAUCGUUUGUUUACAACAUUUAAAGACCUUCAUUUGCGGAAAUUUUGCAAUUUGUGUGAUGAAAAUUGUAGCUGGGCAUUCUUUCUUUUUAGAUGUCUGACCAAAAGAUCUUCUCUGGGUAUGAUAACAAUGGUCGGCACCCUGUAAAAUGAAAAGUAAAAUCCGCUUAUUUGUAGAAAGCUGUGUAUGCCUAUUAGUAUUUGCUAAAUGUCUUGUUACCUGACUGCUGCGAAUCUUCUCCUUAUUUUUUUGUUUUGCUUUUUCAUUUUUGUCUUUCCCUUGGUGACACCACAAGACUUUCUCUCCAACAUGCACGAAUGGUAUUCCGGCGUAUGCAAUACUUGGCCCUUGGUUACCAUCCUUUCUCUCCCAGAAAACCUUAAGUUUGUCUUUUCUAACUUCUAAAAAUCAAUUAAACAAUAAAAAAGUCGAAUUCUGUAAAAGCGUAAUAUUAUUUAUUAUCAGUAUAUUCUGCAUACAUUUUUGUUAGUAGAAAAGAAAUUUGUAGUCAUAAAAGUAUUAAUAAAUUUGUUAUUUUUGCUGUGUCCAGAGUCUGUGUCAGAGGGGGGGGGGGGUGAACUUAAAAGUUUGGGCCCUCUUCCUUUUGACCCCCCCGGUACGCAAAAAAAUUUCCGGAAAAAGGUGAGGAGGGGGAAAUAUACGUUUUCCUGAAAAUAAAAGGUCCAAAAAAAUUUUUCGCAAACCUGUUUUGGAUAAGGGGGGGAAUACGUUUUUCAGAAUUUUUCGACCUUAAUUUUUCACAAUAUUCCUAAAUGUUUAACACGUUCCGCAAUUCCAGCAUUUCGGGCCCCCCUCUUGGGAAAUUGGGCCCCUUCCAAAUUGCCCCCCCCCCCUUGGUAUUUAUAUAAGCCCCCUGAUCUAAUUUUUACGCCCUGAUAAUUUUAAGAUUUUUAGAAGUUGCACGGAUACUGCACCUCAGUCGCCUCUCAGAGGUGUUGUGUACAUGUCUUCGUUGCAGGUGAUGUGCAAAACCUAUUGCUUUAUGCGCUAAUGACAUACUUCUUAAUAUAUACUAUACGUUAACAGUAAUACUUGCCAUUUGAUCCAAAGCUCUUGUCACCGUAGUAAACAACGAAUUUGCUGCUCGUCUCCGUCUCGUAUUCUUUAAUCAGAGCUUUUACAUCGGACUCGCUUUGUACUACGGCCACCUUUUGGUCGCCAACAUAGCUCGAAUUUAUAUUCGCCGACAUGCUUCGGAUGACAAAGAAAAAUUAACGUAUAACUGUAUAAUUUCAAUUAAAGUAACAAGACCUGUUAUCAAUUUGUAUACCUCGGAACGUUUCGCGCCAAUUGAAUUUCCC